UACGUAGGGUGCAAGCGUUGUCCGGAAUUAUUGGGCGUAAAGAGCUCGUAGGCGGUCUGUCGCGUCUGCUGUGAAAUCCCGGGGCUCAACCCCGGGCUUGCAGUGGAUACGGGCAGACUAGAGUUCGGUAGGGGAGACUGGAAUUCCUGGUGUAGCGGUGAAAUGCGCAGAUAUCAGGAGGAACACCGGUGGCGAAGGCGUGUCUCUGGGCCGAUACUGACGCUGAGGAGCGAAAGCGUGGGGAGCAAACAGG
rnacentral:rRNA from 1 species